rnacentral:rRNA from 1 species
UACAGAGGGUGCAAGCGUUAUUCGGAAUUACUGGGCGUAAAGCGUGCGUAGUCGGUUAUCUAAGUCGGAUGUGAAAUCCCCGGGCUCAACCUGGGAAUUGCAUUCGAUACUGGAUAGCUAGAGUUCGGCAGAGGGAAGCGGAAUUUCGGGUGUAGCGGUGAAAUGCGUAGAUAUCCGAAGGAACAUCAGUGGCGAAGGCGGCUUCCUGGACCAGAACUGACGAUCAGGCACGAAAGCGUGGGGAGCAAACAGG